GAUGGCUAUAUCACGUUGAAAUAACAGUUCUCUUAUGAUCACUGAUGUUAAACAACAUUGAGCAUGGUCAGUAUCUUGAUGGGUGACCACUUGAGAAUACCAGGUGCUGUAA